rnacentral:rRNA from 1 species
CCCUUAGAUGUUCUGGGCCGCACGCGCGCUACACUGAUGCAUUCAACAAGCCUAGCCUUGACCGAGAGGUCCGGGUAAUCUUUGAAACUGCAUCGUGAUGGGGCUAGAUUAUUGCAAUUAUUAAUCUUCAACGAGGAAUGCCUAGUAAGCGUGAUUCAUCAAAUCGCGGUGAUUACGUCCCUGCCCUUUGUACACACCGCCCGUCGCUCCUACCGAUUGAAUGUGUUGGUGAGGAGCUCGGAUUGGCAGCAGUUGGUGGUUCGCCACCGGCUAUUGCUGAGAAGUCCUCCAAACCGCCCCAUUUAGAGGAAGGAGAAGUCGUAACA